rnacentral:lncRNA from 1 species
AAGAAUGAGCAGUAACACAGAAGGAACACCAAAGUGCUGCCAAGGCAGAAGAGGUUUCAAAAAAAAAAAAAAAAAGAAACAUUCAGCAAUGUUGAGGGCUUUGUUGAGGUCACAAGGAAGAUGGAGGAAAGGACAUGGCUGACUCUUGAGUAACAGCUGAGAGAACCAUUUCAAUAAAAUGGUAUAGGAGGCAAGAGAGAUCACGAAAGUUUGUCUAGCAGGUAUUGAAUUUCAGACUAUUCCUAUGGACUAAUCUAUCACAAACUUUGGUAAGUAAAAUAUGAGAGCUGAUUUGAGAAGCUAGCAAGGUCAAGAGCCAUAAGAGGGUUUUUGAAAAGGACAGGUGGUACCCAGGUGGUACACUGGGAAAUCUAAGAAGAAGAAUAAAAAAAAAAAAAAUCUGGACCUUCCCAAUCAAUGGCUUGAGAAUUGUGUCAUGUGUCCCCCAAAGCCCAAAUUGAAUUGGAUUCUUUUAUUUCAGUCAUUUUUGGGUGUCUGGAUUAAGUAGAGUAAUUGAAAUUGACAAAAGAAAGCUAUUCAGGACAGAGCAUCUGAAUUUUCAUUUUUCUUGCACCUGUUACUGUGGCAUCUUUCCUGCAUGUUAUCCCUACAGACUGACUUCUAAGCAAGAAAAAAGCCUAGUUCAAUUCCUUACUAUGUAUUGCCCUUGAAUUCCAACUUCCCUGUUUUCUGAGACAAAUAUCUCCAUCACUGAAAAUGAGGCUACUCUUUAAGCUUUCUUCUCCCAGGCACAGCAUCUCUCUUUGGGAACUUUUGCCUGAAAGGUAGAGUUAGAAAAAUAUGUGGGGAAAUAUUUGUGGUUUAUUAUCCUAUUAUAAUCUCUGGUUCCAGUGGCAGCCUUGGUUACCAGAUCUUUAGUUUCAUCACAUCCCAGUCUUGAUUACCUCCAACUUGAAGAACUUCCAGCCCUGUUAUACUCAUCCCUGCUCUGGACCAGAUGGAAAUGAUGAUCGUGCUUGGAAUCUAGUUGCUCAGUGCUAGAGCCAGGUUGAAAGGGAGGGAAUAUGUACUACUAGUGAGACAAUUCCAGGCUGAAUAGAAAUUAGGUAGGAGAGCACUUUCUCAAGACACUCCAAAGCCAGCAAUGCAGAGUCCUUUUCAGUUCCCUUGAUCUGUCCACCCUCCACAAAGAGAACCAGCACCUGGGAGGUCAUGAUGGCAGAGGGCAGCCUGAGAAAACAAGCUGAAGCUGGUGUGAGUGAGGGCAAGACAUUAGCAUACACUAAGUGCUUUUUCUUUGGUGAAUUUGACCCACAUUAGCAUAUUUAACCUGUUGGAUGACACUGUAACAAAGGUGCAGUAUUUCCGAGAUCCUAAUUGAGAAUCAGACCAACUUUAACCCUCACAAGCACGGUAACAUUUGUCAGGUUAUUUACUUUCUUUAAGUACUCUCUUUCUAUGACAAUUGUGGGUUGUCACUAACUCACAAGUUGCUGUGGGCUCAAUCAAGAUUUUUAUAGUCUUGAUUAAUUUUAUAGUCUUUUUAAAUCACUCAAAAGAUCAAGAUUUAUACUCAUGAUUUCAGCUCCACUUCAUAACACAAUGAUUAAAGAAAUCUGAGUUUUCUACUACAGUAUGUAUUUUUAUUUCCUUAGUAAUAUAUUCUUUCCCAAAAGACCAUUUGGUAUGCCCCUGCUUUGUUGAAGCUCAAAGUGCAUGCUCUACUCAUGGAAAAAGCCAUGCUGUCGUGGAUGUCCAUCCCAAAGCUCCCACUAGUGGUCUAAGUAUGUGAACACACAGAGACUUCCCUAGAAGCUAUUGUUACAGAAAGAGAAUUACCUCCUUCAAGCAUUUAUUCCAUAAGUAUUCCAUAUAAGAUGUUUUUUUUACUUUUUAUAAAUAGGAGCUCUGCUUGAAAAUGCAAGCCUGUUUUUAUGCAAAAGAUUAUAUGUGUAGUAUGUUUUUUAAUUAAGUAUAGAGAAGGUGCCUGUCUAUAAAGGUGUGUUUAAAAGUUAAGUUGCAGUAAGCCACACAAUGGAAUGCACUUCAACAAU